rnacentral:rRNA from 1 species
AGAGUUUGAUCCUGGCUCAGAUUGAACGCUGGCGGCAGGCCUAACACAUGCAAGUCGAGCGGCAGCGGGAAAGUAGCUUGCUACUUUUGCCGGCGAGCGGCGGACGGGUGAGUAAUGCCUGGGGAUCUGCCCAGUCGAGGGGGAUAACUACUGGAAACGGUAGCUAAUACCGCAUACGCCCUACGGGGGAAAGCAGGGGACCUUCGGGCCUUGCGCGAUUGGAUGAACCCAGGUGGGAUUAGCUAGUUGGUGAGGUAACGGCUCACCAAGGCGACGAUCCCUAGCUGGUCUGAGAGGAUGAUCAGCCACACUGGAACUGAGACACGGUCCAGACUCCUACGGGAGGCAGCAGUGGGGAAUAUUGCACAAUGGGGGAAACCCUGAUGCAGCCAUGCCGCGUGUGUGAAGAAGGCCUUCGGGUUGUAAAGCACUUUCAGCGAGGAGGAAAGGUCAGUAGCUAAUAUCUGCUGGCUGUGACGUACUCGCAGAGA